AUUGAACGCUGGCGGCAUGCCUUACACAUGCAAGUCGAACGGCAGCACGGGUGCUUGCACCUGGUGGCGAGUGGCGAACGGGUGAGUAAUACAUCGGAACAUGUCCUGUAGUGGGGGAUAGCCCGGCGAAAGCCGGAUUAAUACCGCAUACGAUCUACGGAUGAAAGCGGGGGACCUUCGGGCCUCGCGCUAUAGGGUUGGCCGAUGGCUGAUUAGCUAGUUGGUGGGGUAAAGGCCUACCAAGGCGACGAUCAGCAGCUGGUCUGAGAGGACGACCAGCCACACUGGGACUGAGACACGGCCCAGACUCCUACGGGAGGCAGCAGUGGGGAAUUUUGGACAAUGGGCGAAAGCCUGAUCCAGCAGUGCCGCGUGUGUGAAGAAGGCCUUCGGGUUGUAAAGCACUUUUGUCCGGAAAGAAAUCCUUGGCCCUAAUACGGUCGGGGGAUGACGGUACCGGAAGAAUAAGCACCGGCUAACUACGUG
rnacentral:rRNA from 1 species